rnacentral:rRNA from 1 species
UACGAAGGUGGCAAGCGUUGUUCGGAUUUACUGGGCGUACAGGGAGCGUAGGCGGUUCGGUAAGCCCUUUGUGAAAUCUCCAGGCUUAACCUGGAACAGUCGGAGGGGACUGCCGGGCUAGAGGACGGGAGAGGAGCGGCGGAAUUCCUGGUGUAGCGGUGAAAUGCGCAGAUAUCAGGAGGAACACCGAUGGCGAAGGCAGAUGUUCUGGGCCAGUACUGACGCUGGAGGAGCGAAAGCGUGGGGAGCAAACAGG